GCCUCUUGUAAUAUUAAAAUAAGAGGUCUCGCCUGCCCUGUGACUUUAGUUUAACGGCCGCGGUACUUUGACCGUGCGAAGGUAGCGCAAUCACUUGUCUUUUAAAUGGAGACCUGUAUGAAUGGCAUAACGAGGGCUUAACUGUCUCCUUUUUCUAAUCAAUGAAAUUGAUCUCCCCGUGCAGAAGCGGGGAUAAACUCAUAAGACGAGAAGACCCUAUGGAGCUUAAAACAAUGGAUAGAUCAUGUUAACAAAACUAACCUAAACAGAACAAACUAAUUGAUUCACUAUCCCAUGUUUUUGGUUGGGGCGACCAUGGGGAAAUAAAAAACCCCCACGUAGAAAGGGAGUAUUACUCCUACAACCCAGAGUGACAACUCCAGGUAACAGAAUUUCUGACUAAAUAUGAUCCGGCAAUGCCGAUCAACGGACCCAGUUACCCUAGGGAUAACAGCGCAAUCCCCUCCAAGAGCCCUUAUCAACGAGGGGGUUUACGACCUCGAUGUUGGAUCAGGACAUCCUAAUGGUGCAGCCGCUAUUAAGGUUCGUUUGUUCAACGAUUAA
rnacentral:rRNA from 1 species